AGAACGAACGCUGGCGGCGUGGAUAAGACAUGCAAGUCGAGCGCUAAUUAAAGGGUAGCAAUACUCUUUGAUUGGAGCGGCGCAAGGGUGCGUAACACGUGGGUAAUUUGCCAUGAAGUUGGGGAUAACUCGCUGAAAGGCGAGCUAAUACCGAAUGUGGCCCGAUGGAGGCAUCUCUGUUUGGCUAAAGCUGGGGACCGUAAGGCCUGGCGCUUUUUGAUAAACCCGCGGCCUAUCAGCUAGUUGGUGAGGUAACGGCCCACCAAGGCUAAGACGGGUAGCUGGUCUGAGAGGACGACCAGCCACACUGGAACUGAGACACGGUCCAGACACCUACGGGUGGCAGCAGUCGAGAAUUUUUCACAAUGGGGGAAACCCUGAUGGAGCGACGCCGCGUGGGGAUGAAUGGCUUCGGCCGUAACCCCUGUCAUUUGCGAACAACCUUUUGGUUGAACAAACGAAAAUUGAUUGUAGCAGAAGAGGAAGGGACGGCUAACUCUGCGCCAGCAG
rnacentral:rRNA from 1 species